rnacentral:rRNA from 1 species
UUUGCCUACGGGGCGCAGCAGUGGGGAAUAUUGCACAAUGGGGGAAACCCUGAUGCAGCGACGCCGCGUGAGCGAAGAAGUAUUUCGGUAUGUAAAGCUCUAUCAGCAGGGAAGAAAAUGACGGUACCUGAGUAAGAAGCCCCGGCUAAAUACGUGCCAGCAGCCGCGGUAAUACGUAUGGAGCAAGCGUUAUCCGGAUUUACUGGGUGUAAAGGGAGCGCAGGCGGCCUUGCAAGUCUGAUGUGAAAUACCGGGGCUCAACCCCGGAGCUGCAUUGGAAACUGUGAGGCUGGAGUGUCGGAGAG